rnacentral:rRNA from 1 species
GAUCAUGGCUCAGGAUGAACGCUAGCUACAGGCUUAACACAUGCAAGUCGAGGGGCAGCAUGUUGGUUGCUUGCAACCAAUGAUGGCGACCGGCGCACGGGUGAGUAACGCGUAUCCAACCUACCCUUGUCCAUCGGAUAACCCGUCGAAAGGCGGCCUAACACGAUAUGCGGUUCACAGCAGGCAUCUAACGUGAACGAAAUGUAAAGGAGAAGGAUGGGGAUGCGU